UGUGUGGAUGGAAACUCUUCUUUGUGGAUAGAAACUACAGUUUGACGAAGGUUGUGGUUUGGAGUGGAACUUGUGGAUGGCAUGAGAAAUGUGGACGUGGUCAUAACUAUAUACAUGUUAUAAAAAAAUUCAAUAUACAAAACACAAGUUGCAUAAUAGAUUGGACCAAUAUUUGGGUUAUGUGUGAUAUGCAACUAAAAAAUAACAAUUUAUACUGUAAAGUCAAAAAGAGGAAACAAAAAAUGUUACAUAUAGGACAACAAAAGAGGUCUUUGUAUGCAAAUUUAUAUAUCUGAGAAGCUUCUAAUAUAACCAUGACAUACUUCCUAUUACUGCAACAUCAAAUGCAAUGUUAUUAAUCGGUCAAUUUGUUGUGGACGGCUCACCUGCACCCACUUCACCAAACAAGACAUCACUAAAAGUCACCCCACUUGUCCUCGGAGAUCCUGUCCACACGGAGCAAUACCACGACGCCCCAUCCACAUAUUACCCAUUCCCAUAUCACGACGCCCCGUCACCCCAUCCACACAUAACCCAUCCACGUGCUAACUAUCCACACACGCCCAUCCACACAAGCCCCAUCCACACACCACCUGUGUACACCUCCCAAAUCCACACCACACUCCUCCACCAUCAAAACUAAAAUUGAAACUUCGCAAAUCUGGGUUUUGAAAUCCACAAAGACACUAAGAAACAUGUUAGUUUAUCAGAAAACUUUUUUUUUCCCUUGGAUCCACAACUGGAUGCAAUUAGAACCUCCAAAGAACAACUAAAAUCUAGCCAAUUCAACAGCAAAAAUACUGUUAGAGUAAACACCAAAACACAAAUAGAAUAAUGGAGUAAUCAAACGAAUUAAGGUGAUGAGUUUUACUACUGAUGUAGAGCAAAUGAGGUUGGAUAUCUCAUGGACUACCAAAAACUCAUCAUAGGAAUCAAACUCCAAAGAAAAAAGAAAUAAAAACCAAAUUGCAGAAAAUGACUACAGUUUCCAAAAUCGAAAAUGGAUUAAUAAAUUAACCUUUUUAAUGGCGAGAAGCUCUCCGGAAUCAAGAUUAACAAUAUUGAGCAGAUCAAGUAUCAAUGGAGAAGCCACACCUUUUGCUUGAGCCAUAACUCUUAAUCAUAGGCUAAUAUAGGUCGCUUCUUUUCAUACAAAAAAAAAAGAAGAUAAAUCAUAGAGAACUCAAUCAGUUAGGAAGUAAUCACCAUGAACUUAGCUUAAAAAAGCAGCACAAAUAUGUAAGCUUGGGAGGUAAUCAAUCAAAGAUAAACUCAUAGUUUCCUGAUAAAAUGACAGGGAAAUCAAAUUCUCUCCAAAAUCAGUAGUUAAAUUUACUUAAUAUCCAGAUAGCCAGGGAAACAUCAUGAAGACAUACUAUCAGCCAUUUCUUCAACUUCCUGAAAAACUGUAGCGUAAGCUUCAUCAUCUGAAUAAGCUUCAAAGAAUACCAUUCGCCUCCCAUCGUGGAUUUGCGCACAAACACAGGAAAGUGUUUCGAUAGAAGGAGGAUUCAAAGUGAAAGGGACGUUUGGAAGGAGAUAAGCCAUAUGAUGGAGAGUCAUAGAGUUUUAUUCUUGGAUAUAGAUGCUAUAUUUAAUGUGAGAGAGUGAGAGGAGUUGUGAGAGCGGCGUUAAUAGCUUGAUUAAUGUAGAACAGAGACGAAAACUGAAGCAAUUACACUUGCAUUGAUCAAAGUUUGUAAGAUACGAAGAGGCACCGUGAAUGUUCUCUAGCAGCUUAGUUAAAGACAUAAUGAUACGUGUCAAAUUUGAGAAUAGUCAUAGCUGAGGUGACGCACUCUGGAGCCUUUCUUUUCUACUUUAUUAAUAAAUUGUCAAAAUCCAAAUAAACGCUGUCCAAAUAAUAUCAAUCCCAAAUAGGACCAUAACCAGAUGGAUUACCCAUGGGACCCAAAAAUAUAAGUUUUAUAUUUUUGUUGGACAAAUAAUUUUUUUUAGCGAUUUUACCAAAAAUGUAACUUCAUAGGUUUGUCAAAAAAAAAUAUGAUUUUACGGUUUG
rnacentral:lncRNA from 1 species